CCAGGCAAUGUUGGGGUGCGGCGUACGGCUCAGUAAAACGUGGCUAACCUACCCUAGGGAUGGGGAUAACCCCGGGAAACUGGGGAUAAACCCCAAUAGGAGAAGAGUGCUGGAAUGCCUCCUCUCCGAAAGGAUGCCAAGAACAUGCCUCUUGGCAUCGCCCUAGGAUGGGGCCACGUCCCAUCAGGUAGUUGGUGGGGUAAUGGCCCACCAAGCCUAUAACGGGUACGGGCCGUGAGAGCGGGAGCCCGGAGAUGGGCACUGAGACAAGGGCCCAGGCCCUACGGGGCGCAGCAGGCGCGAAACCUACACAAUGUGCGAAAGCACGAUGUGGUCACCCCCAGUGCCACCCGCUGAGGGUGGCUUUUCUCCGGUGUAAAAAGCCGGAGGCAAUAAGCGGGGGGCAAGUCUGGUGUCAGCCGCCGCGGUAAUACCAGCUCCGCGAGUGGUCGGGGCGUUUAUUGGGCCUAAAGCGUCCGUAGCCGGCCCGGUAAGUUUUCAGCUAAAGCCCAGGGCUUAACCCUGGGAAGGCUGAAAAUACUGCCGGGCUAGGGGGCGGGAGAGGCUGAGGGUACUCCUGGGGUAGGGGCGAAAUCCUAUAAUCCCAGGAGGACCACCAGUGG
rnacentral:rRNA from 1 species